rnacentral:misc_RNA from 1 species
GAUGAAGAACGCAGCGAAAUGCGAUAAGUAGUGUGAAUUGCAGAAUUCAGUGAAUCAUCGAAUCUUUGAACGCACAUCGCGCCCUUUGGUAUUCCUUAGGGCAUGCCUGUUCGAGCGUCAUUUAAACCUUCAAGCUAAGCUUGGUGUUGGGUGACUGUCCGCUUCACGGCGGACUCGCCUCAAAAUUAUUGGCGGCCGGUACAUUGGCUUCGAGCGCAGCAGAAACGCGAACUCGGGCCCGUCGUAUUGGCUCCCAGAAGCUAUCUUCACAAUUUUGACCUCGGAUCAGGUAGGGAUACCCGCUGAACUUAAGCAUAUCAAUAAGCGGAGGA